rnacentral:rRNA from 1 species
CCUACGGGUGGCAGCAGUGGGGCAUAUUGCGCAAUGGGCGCAAGCCUGAUCCAGCAACGCCGCGUGAAGGAAGAAGGCUUUCGGAUUGUAAACUUCUUUUCUCAGGGACGAAGCAAGUGACGGUACCUGAGUAAUAAGCCACGGCUAACUACGUGCCAGCAGCCGCGGUAAUACGUAGGUGGCAAGCGUUAUCCGGAAUUACUGGGUGUAAAGGGCGUGUAGGCGGCGAGGUAAGCGAUAUGUGAAAACCUUAAGCUUAACUUAAGGAUGGCAUUACAAACUAUGUAGCUUGAGUACAGGAGAGGAAGACGGAAUUCCUAGUGUAGCGGUGAAAUGCGUAGAUAUUAGGAAGAACACCAGUGGCGAAGGCGGUUUUCUGGACAGCAACUGACGCUGAGGCGCGAAAGCGUGGGGAGCAAACAGGAUUAGAUACCCCGGUAGUC